UAUAGGGCAGUAUAGAGACAUGAGGCCACAUUGAAAAAGCAAAGCUUGUCAUCCUAUGGCCUUGGGUCAAGAAUAGAGAUAGUGCUGCUCAUGUCAGUUUCAACCUCCAGUGGCCAAGGGUUUGAUCUGAUGCUCUUUCAAGUUUUCACCAUAGCCUUUCUCAAGCUCAAUGGCCAAUAAUCCCACAGGAGGAGAUUUUAGGGCCCUCUCAAACUUCUGUUUUGCUAUCUCUCCCCAGCCUGCUUCCUCUGCAAAAGUCACCACUUUGCCUGUGCAUCUACCACCUCUUAGAGCCUUUGGAAUCAGCCACGAAUUGCAGUGCUGAUUCCUUCCAUGACCACAUAUUGUUUACAGGAAAACUCUUCUUCGUUAUGCCUUGCCAGUCAGAGUGACGGUUUCAUCCGCAACCUGGACCAGGUUCGGGAAUAUUCUACACAUAAAUUUUCAGAUCCAGUUUUGACUAUUGUUAUGGGCUUAGUUGGAUGCCCCCAGAUUCCUACGUUGACGUCCUAACACCCAGCAUCUCAGAAUGUGGCAGUAUUCAGAGAUGGGAUUUUUAAAGAGGUGAUAAAGGGAAAACGAGCUCACUGGGGGUGGGCACCAAGCCAACAGGACUGGUGUGCUUACAGGAAGAGGAGAUUAAGACACAGACAAUACAGACUGAAGGACAAUCGUUUGAAGACAGAGUGGAGAACACAGCUAUCUGCAAGCCAAGGAGAGACGUUUGAAGAAUCGAACCCUAUUGCCACCUUGAUCUUGGACUUCCAGCGCCCAGAACCAUGAGAAAAUAAAUUGUAUGUUGCCUAAGCCACCCGGAUGUUGAUAUUUUGUUUAUGACAACCCAUGACUCAGAAAUUUGAGGACCUCCCUUCUAGACUUUAUCCUGAAGUUCUGUUUCAGCUUCAGGGGCUUGUGUAAUACUACUGUAUCAAGGAGGGAGGCUCCUGCCAUUCCCCACACUGGGUCGUUGAGACACUGCACAGCUGUCCCCAGGGCUGGCUACAUAAUUUACAAGCCCCAUGCGAAAUGAAGAUAUAGGGCCCUUUGGGCAAAAACAGGGAGGAAGUGUUUGUUAAAGGUACUAAAAUAGAAAGCUCAUUUCCUCCAUGGUCUGUCUUCUGAAGGGGCAUGGCUGCUGUUUUCUAUUUGCAUUUAAUGUCAUUCCAAGCAAAUAAAAAUUUUAAAAUGUGA